rnacentral:rRNA from 1 species
CAUCUGGAAAGAUGAAUCAAAGAAGGUAAUAAUCCUGUAGUCGAAAAUGUUGUCUCUCUUGAGUGGAUCCUGAGUACGACGGAGCACGUGAAAUUCCGUCGGAAUCUGGGAGGACCAUCUCCUAAGGCUAAAUACUCUCUAGUGACCGAUAGUGAACCAGUACCGUGAGGGAAAGGUGAAAAGCACCCCGGAAGGGGAGUGAAAUAGAACCUGAAACCGUGUGCUUACAAGUAGUCAGAGCCCGUUAAUGGGUGAUGGCGUGCCUUUUGUAGAAUGAACCGGCGAGUUACGAUUUGAUGCAAGGUUAAGCAGUAAAUGUGGAGCCGUAGCGAAAGCGAGUCUGAAUAGGGCGUUUAGUAUUUGGUCGUAGACCCGAAACCAGGUGAUCUACCCUUGGUCAGGUUGAAGUUCAGGUAACACUGAAUGGAGGACCGAACCGACUUACGUUGAAAAGUGAGCGGAUGAACUGAGGGUAGCGGAGAAAUUCCAAUCGAACCUGGAGAUAGCUGGUUCUCUCCGAAAUAGCUUUAGGGCUAGCCUCAAGUGAUGAUUAUUGGAGGUAGAGCACUGUUUGGACGAGGGGCCCCUCUCGGGUUACCGAAUUCAGACAAACUCCGAAUGCCAAUUAAUUUAACUUGGGAGUCAGAACAUGGGUGAUAAGGUCCGUGUUCGAAAGGGAAACAGCCCAGACCACCAGCUAAGGUCCCAAAAUAUAUGUUAAGUGGAAAAGGAUGUGGCGUUGCCCAGACAACUAGGAUGUUGGCUUAGAAGCAGCCAUCAUUUAAAGAGUGCGUAAUAGCUCACUAGUCGAGUGACACUGCGCCGAAAAUGUACCGGGGCUAAACAUAUUACCGAAGCUGUGGAUUGUCCUUUGGACAAUGGUAGGAGAGCGUUCUAAGGGCGUUGAAGCAUGAUCGUAAGGACAUGUGGAGCGCUUAGAAGUGAGAAUGCCGGUGUGAGUAGCGAAAGACGGGUGAGAAUCCCGUCCACCGAUUGACUAAGGUUUCCAGAGGAAGGCUCGUCCGCUCUGGGUUAGUCGGGUCCUAAGCUGAGGCCGACAGGCGUAGGCGAUGGAUAACAGGUUGAUAUUCCUGUACCACCUAUAAUCGUUUUAAUCGAUGGGGGGACGCAGUAGGAUAGGCGAAGCGUGCGAUUGGAUUGCACGUCUAAGCAGUAAGGCUGAGUAUUAGGCAAAUCCGGUACUCGUUAAGGCUGAGCUGUGAUGGGGAGAAGACAUUGUGUCUUCGAGUCGUUGAUUUCACACUGCCGAGAAAAGCCUCUAGAUAGAAAAUAGGUGCCCGUACCGCAAACCGACACAGGUAGUCAAGAUGAGAAUUCUAAGGUGAGCGAGCGAACUCUCGUUAAGGAACUCGGCAAAAUGACCCCGUAACUUCGGGAGAAGGGGUGCUCUUUAGGGUUAACGCCCAGAAGAGCCGCAGUGAAUAGGCCCAAGCGACUGUUUAUCAAAAACACAGGUCUCUGCUAAACCGUAAGGUGAUGUAUAGGGGCUGACGCCUGCCCGGUGCUGGAAGGUUAAGAGGAGUGGUUAGCUUCUGCGAAGCUACGAAUCGAAGCCCCAGUAAACGGCGGCCGUAACUAUAACGGUCCUAAGGUAGCGAAAUUCCUUGUCGGGUAAGUUCCGACCCGCACGAAAGGCGUAACGAUUUGGGCACUGUCUCAACGAGAGACUCGGUGAAAUCAUAGUACCUGUGAAGAUGCAGGUUACCCGCGACAGGACGGAAAGACCCCGUGGAGCUUUACUGUAGCCUGAUAUUGAAAUUCGGCACAGCUUGUACAGGAUAGGUAGGAGCCUUUGAAACGUGAGCGCUAGCUUACGUGGAGGCGCUGGUGGGAUACUACCCUAGCUGUGUUGGCUUUCUAACCCGCACCACUUAUCGUGGUGGGAGACAGUGUCAGGCGGGCAGUUUGACUGGGGCGGUCGCCUCCUAAAAGGUAACGGAGGCGCUCAAAGGUUCCCUCAGAAUGGUUGGAAAUCAUUCAUAGAGUGUAAAGGCAUAAGGGAGCUUGACUGCGAGACCUACAAGUCGAGCAGGGUCGAAAGACGGACUUAGUGAUCCGGUGGUUCCGCAUGGAAGGGCCAUCGCUCAACGGAUAAAAGCUACCCCGGGGAUAACAGGCUUAUCUCCCCCAAGAGUUCACAUCGACGGGGAGGUUUGGCACCUCGAUGUCGGCUCAUCGCAUCCUGGGGCUGUAGUCGGUCCCAAGGGUUGGGCUGUUCGCCCAUUAAAGCGGUACGCGAGCUGGGUUCAGAACGUCGUGAGACAGUUCGGUCCCUAUCCGUCGUGGGCGUAGGAAAUUUGAGAGGAGCUGUCCUUAGUACGAGAGGACCGGGAUGGACAUACCUCUGGUGUACCAGUUGUCGUGCCAACGGCAUAGCUGGGUAGCUAUGUGUGGACGGGAUAAGUGCUGAAAGCAUCUAAGCAUGAAGCCCCCCUCAAGAUGAGAUUUCCCAACUUCGGUUAUAAGAUCCCUCAAAGAUGAUGAGGUUAAUAGGUUCGAGGUGGAAGCAUGGUGACAUGUGGAGCUGACGAAUACUAAUCGAUCGAAGACUUAAUCAA